rnacentral:tRNA from 1 species
GGCUAGGUAGCUCAGUUGGUAGAGCAGCGGACUGAAAAUCCGCGUGUCGGCGGUUCGACUCCGCCCCUAGCCA